UAUACAGGCUGACGCCUGCCCAGUGCCGGAAGGUUAAGGGGAGAGGUGAGAGCUUCGAACUGAAGCCCCGGUGAACGGCGGCCGUAACUAUAACGGUCCUAAGGUAGCGAAAUUCCUUGUCGGGUAAGUUCCGACCCGCACGAAAGGCGUAACGACUGGAGCACUGUCUCAACAGAGGACCCGGUGAAACUGAAAUAGGAGUGAAGAUGCUCUUUACCCGCAGCUGGACAAAAAGACCCCGUGGAGCUUUACUGUAGCCUGACAUUGGGUUAGGACUUUGCUUGUGUAGGAUAGGUGGGAGACUGAGAAGCUGGGCCGCCAGGUUCGGUGGAGUCGACAGUGAAAUACCACUCUGGUGAAGUUUUGGCUCUAACCUCAACCGUAAGCCGGUUGGGAAACAGUGUCAGGUGGGCAGUUUGACUGGGGCGGUCGCCUCCUAAAAGGUAACGGAGGCGCCCAAAGGUUCCCUCAGAAUGGUUGGAAAUCAUUCGCAGAGUGUAAAGGUAUAAGGGAGCUUGACUGCGAGAGCUACAACUCGAGCAGGGACGAAAGUCGGGCUUAGUGAUCCGGUGGUUCCGUAUGGAAGGGCCAUCGCUCAACGGAUAAAAGCUACCCUGGGGAUAACAGGCUUAUCUCCCCCAAGAGUUCACAUCGACGGGGAGGUUUGGCACCUCGAUGUCGGCUCAUCACAUCCUGGGGCUGUAGUAGGUCCCAAGGGUUGGGCUGUUCGCCCAUUAAAGUGGUACGCGAGCUGGGUUCAGACCGUCGUGAGACAGGUCGGUCUCUAUCCGCUGUGGGCGUAAGGGAAUUGAGGAAAGCUGCCCCUAGUACGAGAGGACCGGGGUGGACGGACCGCUGGUGUGCCAGUUGUGUUGCCAAAUGCAUGGCUGGGUAGCUAAGUCCGGGAUGGAUAACCGCUGAAAGCAUCUAAGUGGGAAGCCGGCUCCGAGAUAAGUUCCCUCACAGGGUAGCCUGGUAAGUGCGCUGGAAGACCACCAGCUUGAUAGGCGGUGUGUGUAAGGGCUGAGAGGCCUUGAGCAAAACCGUACUAAUGCACGAGGGCUUAACUGU
rnacentral:rRNA from 1 species